ACAACAUUUGGACCGUCGGUCUACCGAGCAAACAUCACCAGCUCAGUGGAAGAUCUUUUCGUUUUGCCGU
rnacentral:pre_miRNA from 1 species